rnacentral:rRNA from 1 species
AUUGAACGCUGGCGGCAGGCCUAACACAUGCAAGUCGAACGGCAGCACAGUAAGGGUUUGCGUUUACCGGUCGCGAGUGGCGGGCGGGUGAGGUAUACAGCGGAAUCCACUUUUGCGUGGGGGAAAUCGUAGGAAAGCUAGCGCUAACACCACAUACGACCUACGGGAGAAAGCAGGAGAUCCUCGGACCUUGCGAGCAUGUAUGAGCAGAUGUCGGAUUAGCUAGUGGGCGGGGUAAAGGCUCACCAAGGCGACGAUCCGUAGCUGGUCUGAGAGGAUGACCAGCCACACUGGAACUGAGACACGGUCCAGACUCCUACGGGAGGCAGCAGUGGGGAAUAUUGGACAAUGGGCGCAAGCCUGAUCCAGCCAUGCCGCGUGGGUGAAGAAGGCCUUCGGGUUGUAAAGCCCUUUUAUUGGGAAAGAAAAGAGGCAGGUUAAUACCUCGCUGUUCUGACGUUACCCAAAGAAUAAGCACCGGCUAACUUCGUG